rnacentral:lncRNA from 1 species
CACUUCCGGCGGUUCGGAAAGGUUGUUGAAGUUUCAGAAUCGUGUGGAGACGCCGGGAGUCGCUGCUGGUUUCGUGUCGAUGGAGCACAGAGGCUAUGGAGGCGAUCAACAACGAAGCGCUGAUCGCCUGCGUUGAGGCUCGACCUGCGCUUUGGUAGCAGGCGAAACACAAGCGCCACUAGAACAAGCACUUGACGAGGUGGUCAUGGAUCGUCAUGCCCAACGCUCCCGAACAGAUGACGUUAUCACAGCGCUGCAGAAGUGAUGGAAGUCCCUGGGGAAUAAAUUUCGGCGCCUGGGAAGACGUUUCAGAAAGAAAAGAGCCGCGCCGUGCCAGUCGACGUUCACGACGACGUCAUCUGGCUGUUUUUCGACGAGAUGUUUGUGCGCUACACAAUGGAGUGUAGACCGAUGUCCGCCAACCUUCCACCAGUGCCCCCAUCGAGUGAGGAGGGAAGUGCUGCAGACAUCUUAACAAAAAAUGUGCCAGUUUUCCGAUCUAGCAACACUUGAGGUGCCAUCACCGUCAAGUGAAGGGUCACAAGCGCCAGCAUCGACUCUGUCUUCGGCGUCGCAUGAGUCUGUGGAGUCUCAGGACAUUUUGGAAUCUCUUGAAUCACUGAUGUUUCAAGAAGUUCUGGUUCCUGAGGAUACUG